rnacentral:rRNA from 1 species
GAGGAAUAAGCAUCGGCUAACUCCGUGCCAGCAGCCGCGGUAAUACGGGGGAUGCAAGCGUUAUCCGGAAUCAUUGGGCGUAAAGCGCCUGUAGGUUGUUUAAUAAGUCUGUUGUUAAAGACUAGGACUUAACCCUAGAAAAGCAAUGGAAACUACUAGACUAGAGUAUGGCAGGGGUAGAGGGAAUUUCUAGUGUAGCGGUGAAAUGCGUAGAUAUUAGAAAGAACACCGGUGGCGAAAGCGCUCUACUGGACCAUUACUGACACUCAGAGGCGAAAGCUAGGGUAGCAAAAGGGAUUAGAUACCCCUGUAGUCCUAGCCGUAAACGAUGGAUACUACAUGUUGUGCAUUAUGUACAGUAUGGUAGCUAACGCGUUAAGUAUCCCGCCUGGGGAGUACGCUCGCAAGGGUGAAACUCAAAGGAAUUGACGGGGGCCCGCACAAGCGGUGGAGCAUGUGGUUUAAUUCGAUGCAACGGGAAGAACCUUACCAGGACUUGACAUACUACAAAUUCUUUUGAGAAAAAGAAGUGCCUUCGGGAAUGUAGAUACAGGUGGUGCAUGGCUGUCGUCAGCUCGUGUCGUGAGAUGUUGGGUUAAGUCCCGCAACGAGCGCAACCCUUAUUUUUAGUUACCAAUUCGUUGGGUUCUCUAGAAAGACUGCCGGUGACAAACCGGAGGAAGGUGAGGAUGACGUCAAGUCAGCAUGCCCCCUUAUGUCCUGGGCUACACACGUGCUACAAUGGUUAAGACAAAGAGUCGCGAGCUCGUGAGAGUCAGCUAAUCUCAUAAACUUAGCCCAAGUUCAGAUUGUAGGCUGCAACUCGCCUACGUGA